CUGUAAGGGAAAAUCUGUUCUAGGAAAGUCAGCUGGAGAUCUCUAUUUUCCAAUACAAGUUGCAUACCCAGUAGAGAUUACACGAUUUACUUCAAAUUCCAACACAACCACAUUAAUUGUUACUGAUAAAUCUAGUGUUGUCUUUCAAUGUGAUGUAAGCAACACUACCAAUCCUGCAGCAGUGGUAAUCAAAAAGCGAACAAGCGGAGCUGUGAUCAAUACAAGUACAAUAAUGUCUUGUGUAGACAGUGGGGAGUAUGUUUGUCAAGCGACUGACUUGAUAUUUGGCACUACACAAGAGAGAUCUAUUACUGUAUAUGUACAGUGUGCUCUACAUCUAACAAAUACAGAAUCUGAACGGAAUGUUUUAAAAGCAAUACUUAAGACAAAUUUGAUUACAAAAAUUGAGGUCUAUGGA